UUAGAUUAAGUUAUUAAGGGCGCACGGUGGAUGCCUUGGCACUAGAAGCCGAUGAAGGACGUUACUAACGACGAUAUGCUUUGGGUAGCUGUAAGUAAGCGUUGAUCCAGAGAUUUCCGAAUGGGGAAACCCAGCACAAGUUAUGUUGUGUUAUCGACAAGUGAAUUCAUAGCUUGUCAGAAGGCAGACCCGGAGAACUGAAACAUCUUAGUACCCGGAGGAAGAGAAAGAAAAUUCGAUUCCCUGAGUAGCGGCGAGCGAAACGGGAAGAGCCCAAACCAAUAAGCUUGCUUAUUGGGGUUGUAGGACACUCUAUACGGAGUUACAAAGGAAUAUAUUAAACGAAUCAUCUGGAAAGUUGAAUCAAAGAAGGUAAUAAUCCUGUAGUUGAAAAUAUAUUCUCUCUUGAGUGGAUCCUGAGUACGACGGAGCACGUGAAAUUCCGUCGGAAUCUGGGAGGACCAUCUCCUAAGGCUAAAUACUCUCUAGUGACCGAUAGUGAACCAGUACCGUGAGGGAAAGGUGAAAAGUACCCCGGAAGGGGAGUGAAAGAGAACUUGAAACCGUGUGCUUACAAGUAGUCAGAGCCCGUUAAUGGGUGAUGGCGUGCCUUUUGUAGAAUGAACCGGCGAGUUACGAUCUGAUGCAAGGUUAAGCAGAAAAUGUGGAGCCGUAGCGAAAGCGAGUCUGAAUAGGGCGUAUAGUAUUUGGUCGUAGACCCGAAACCAGGUGAUCUACCCAUGGUCAGGUUGAAGUUCAGGUAACACUGAAUGGAGGA
rnacentral:rRNA from 1 species